UGAAGGAACCAGCUCCCUUUUGGCAGCCAUUACAGCCGAACACAUGCUUGCCAUAAACCUGCCUUGGUCACUUAGAGGUCAGAUGCCUGUCUUGUGACAAGGAACCAAUCAGAAGUUAGCUGGUGGCGCUAUGCUUUACGACCCUGGGUGUGCUUUACGGACAAGCGCACGACAAUGACGUAGAGAGCAUAGCAACCACCCUGGGAGGGCCUAUGAGCCAUAACAACCAGUUGACCAAUCAACACAGGGCAAGCCCUCCAAGCCUGGAGGCACACCAAUCAUGAGCCUGUGCGUACCCCUAGACACUCCCCUUACGCUGCCCUAUAAGAUCUUUGGGGAGACCUUAGGAGCCGUCUUUUUCUAGCUGUCCGCCAUGGCGGGUGGGUGAAAGACCCGAGCUAACAUGGGGUUAGCUCGUUAAAUUACAAUAAAGCCUCGUGCAGUUUGCAGCAAGCUCUCGAAUCCGCCUGGUGAUUGGGGUGACCGCGAACCUGGCCUGAGACCCCGGAUACUUGAGUUUUCGGGGGUCUAACAUUUUGGGGGCUCGUCCGCGAUUUGCGACCACCCUUCACCUGAGUGGAUUCGAUCUUGGAGUUUAUAAUGUCAGACAGACUGCCAGAUCCGGACAGUGACCCAAAGUCUCCAAAGAAGAUUACGAGGCACCUCAGUUCCUGCACCUGGACCAGUGAGCGAGAUGCUCAGAUGUGAAACCUGCCGCCUGCCAGAACCUGGCCGAGAAUGUGGACAAAGCUGCUGGACACUGGAAAAUUGAUUGCACCCCUUUGCCUAGACAAAACAAGUUUAAAUAUGUCUUAAACAGGUUUCUGCUUCUGGCAGACAUCUGAGUAUCAGUUGCUGACUACAGGCUGUUCCUAAGUAGACUGCGAGCCCUAGACUUGCUAUGGAUGUGAACCAGUCCAGCUGAUGUGGACACCCCCUGUCUCUGCA
rnacentral:lncRNA from 1 species